AGGACGAACGCUGGCGGCGUGCUUAACACAUGCAAGUCGAGCGGAAAGGCCCUUCGGGGUACUCGAGCGGCGAACGGGUGAGUAACACGUGAGUAACCUGCCCCUAGCUCUGGGAUAGCUCCGGGAAACCGGGAUUAAUACCAGAUACGACCACUUUAGACAUCUGUCGUGGUGGAAAGGAUUCCGGCUAGGGAUGGGCUCGCGGCCUAUCAGCUUGUUGGUGGGGUAACGGCCUACCAAGGCGACGACGGGUAGCCGGCCUGAGAGGGCGACGGCCACGACUGGACUGAGACACGGCCCAGACUCCUACGGGAGGCAGCAGUGGGGAAUAUUGCGCAAUGGGCGAAAGCCUGACGCAGCGACGCCGCGUGGGGGAUGAAGGCCUUCGGGUUGUAAACCCCGUUUCAGCAGGGACGAAGCGAAAGUGACGGUACCUGCAGAAGAAGCACCGGCCAACUACGUGCCAGCAGCCGC
rnacentral:rRNA from 1 species